rnacentral:rRNA from 1 species
UACGUAGGGUGCGAGCGUUAAUCGGAAUUACUGGGCGUAAAGCGUGCGCAGGCGGUUCGUUGUGUCUGCUGUGAAAUCCCCGGGCUCAACCUGGGAAUGGCAGUGGAAACUGGCGAGCUUGAGUGUGGCAGAGGGGGGUGGAAUUCCGCGUGUAGCAGUGAAAUGCGUAGAGAUGUGGAGGAACACCGAUGGCGAAGGCAGCCUCCUGGGCCAACACUGACGCUCAUGCACGAAAGCGUGGGGAGCAAACAGG